GAUGAACGCUGGCGGCGUGCCUAAUACAUGCAAGUCGAGCGAACAGACGUGGUUCUUGCUCCUCUGACGUUAGCGGCGGACGGGUGCGUAACCCGUGGAUAACCUCCCUAUAUGACUGGGAUAACUUCGGGACACCGGAGCUAAUACCGGAAAAUAUAUUCAACCGCAUGGUUCACUAGUGUAAGACUGUUUUGCUGUUACUUAUAGAUGUUACCGCGCCGCAUUAGCUAGUGGGUAAGGUAACGGCUUACCAAGGCAACGAUGCGUAGCCGACCUGAGAGGGGGAUCGGCCACGCUGGAACAGAGAGACGGGCCAGACUCGUACGGGAGGCAGCAGUAGGGAAUCAUGCGAGAUAGGCGUAAGGAAGACGGAGCAACGCGGGAUGGCUGAUGGAGGUAUUGGGAUCUGGAGAUUCAGUGAUUAGGGAACAUCAAAUGUGUAAGUAACUGUACAAGUAUUGACGGUACCUGGUCAGAAAGCCACGGCUAACUACGUG
rnacentral:rRNA from 1 species